rnacentral:rRNA from 1 species
GACGAACGCUGGCGGCGUGCCUAAUACAUGCAAGUCGAGCGCAGGAAGCCGACGGAACCCUUCGGGGGGAAGUCGACGGAAUGAGCGGCGGACGGGUGAGUAACACGUAAAGAACCUGCCCUCGGGUCUGGGAUAACCACGAGAAAUCGGGGCUAAUACCGGAUGGGUCAUCGGACCGCAUGGUCCGAGGAUGAAAGGCGCUCCGGCGUCGCCUGGGGAUGGCUUUGCGGUGCAUUAGCUAGUUGGUGGGGUAAUGGCCCACCAAGGCGACGAUGCAUAGCCGACCUGAGAGGGUGAUCGGCCACACUGGGACUGAGACACGGCCCAGACUCCUACGGGAGGCAGCAGUAGGGGAUCUUCCACAAUGGACGAAAGUCUGAUGGAGCAACGCCGCGUGAACGAUGAAGGCCUUCGGGUCGUAAAGUUCUGUUGUAAGGGAAGAACAAGUGCCGCAGGCAAUGGCGGCACCUUGACGGUACCUUGCGAGAAAGCCACGGCUAACUACGUGCCAGCCGCCGCAGUAACAC